UUAAGUUCAGCGGGUAUUCCUACCUGAUCCGAGGUCAACAUUUAGAAAUUCAUCAAUUGACUGACAACAUCCCACCAGCUAGACGACGUUUAUGCGCCUGUGGUUGAAUAUGACCAUCGCUGAUUUUGAGGCAUGCCUUUAGGCAUUGCCCAACGCCAAAGAGUUAAACUUUGAGGGGUGUAAUGACGCUCGAACAGGUA
rnacentral:misc_RNA from 1 species